rnacentral:piRNA from 1 species
UCGGUGUGAACUGCCGCUCCAGCGAGUUG